GGCACAAAAUAGCUACAGCAACAGGGAAUACCAAAGCUCUGCCAGCCAUCAGCUGUUCAGUCUGUUCCAUUUUGUUUCAACUACUGCCUGGAAACCUAAGUGAUCACAUGUAAGUACUGUGUGUCUGAUAGCUGUACACCGAUGAGUUUUUAGGUUGAGUCCCUGAGCGUGUGCUAGCUUCCUGCAAGAAGUGGGAAAGUAAAGUAUAGCUUCGAGAACUGCUUCAAAGUCAUUCCUGACAGGCUCCUCUUUUUGCAGGUUCCCUCCUCCUGCUCAGUAAGUGAUGUCCUUGGUUUGAGUGACGCCCUUGAAACGUUGAUCUGGAUCAGUAGUGGCUGGCUCUAUAUUCAAAGUGAAUCAUGCUGUGCAAAACUGACAUCUUUAGAUCUGGCAAAAGAUCAUAUCCUUGCUAUCAUGAAGCAGAAAGAAAGUAGCUGUGGCAAUCAACCUCUCCUGAACCUUUGGGACAAAGAUGGAGGAUGACCCACACUGGUAAACUAACCUAG